CACAGGCAGGGUGACCGGCUGCUGACUGGCUCCUCUCUCUUCCUGUAUCACUACUACUAGGGUGACUGCACAGCGCGCCGCUCACACAGGACAGGAGGCGGGGCCACUCAGCUCCAGUACCUGGCGUGCUCUGCCAAUCAGCUCAGCAGCUAUCACCAGCGGAGAGUCCGUGCUGCUGCUGGUGCUGCUGCCACCGCUGCCGCCUGAUAAGGACGGGGCAGGGAUGAUGCGUGUUUCCGAUAAUCUCUCAGAGUACCUGACCUACUUCCUGGCACGGUCUUUUCAGGACCAGUCUCCUGCCCCAUCUGGACCUGCGCCUGCCUCCUACCAACCCCCCUCACUUCAGAGUCUAUCGCCACAUAGAAAACAGCCAACAGCGAGAAAAACAAUGGACGGCUUGUAGAAAAUUAGGCUACAUAAAGAUCCUGAUCCCAGAUUCAGGUGCACUGUAGCUGUACUUUGAUAUUGAUGAAUACACCGCAGAUCAACAGAUAACACCCACUGUGAGACACAUACAGGAGCAGUGCAAAAUAACAUGUGUGGGAUGCAUUCAGCAUCCCAGCUGUUGGGAAGCUGGCGGUUACCGGAUCACCGACAGCUGGAAUCUCGUAGCUCUAAGUUUCUCAAGGGUGAAAUUCUGCUGAACGUCGUCUUGUCACCACCAUGCACCUGUCCAGACAACAGUCACUUAAACAAGCAAAAUAACAGCUGAGCAAUUCAGGACAGAUGCCUCCCUCAUUUCAAGACAUCUCCAAGACCUGUGCACUCUUCUCUUUAUAUGAAAAUAGCCUUAAAGAAACCAAAUGUAUUUAUGUUUCUACAUGAUGAUAGUAGUGAAAGCUUUACUAGUCCAUCUGCUGUUACUUAGGACAGAAGUACAGCUUCCAAAAUAAUAUUUUGCUUACUUAAUAUUAUGAAAUAAUAGGUAAUGAUAGCUUUAUGAAUCUAUAAGAUAUAUGGGAUAGUGUCUAGUGUAAUGGCAAGGCCUGUUGAAUAAAAUGUUUUAUUAAGGCAUAUUUACACAAUAAAGUGUGGGGCAAAAAGAUACUAAAUACAGUAUUUGAUUCACUAGUUAUAAAUAAGCCUGUGCUGACAGCCAUAGAGAGACAUGCUUCCAAGCACAGAAAGGAAAUAGUAUUACCAUUUGGUAACAUAGCACUCGUUCACAAGUAACUCAAAUAGUACAAAAUAAAUAACAUUAACACACUCAUAUUAGUGGAUGAGUAAACUAAUACAAUUGGUGUGUGUGUGUGUGUGUGUGUGUGUGUGUGUGUGUGUGUGUGGUGUGUGUGUGUGUGUGUGUGUGUCUUACCCUCUCCAUCACUUAAGUGACAUGAGAGUGUGCCUUUUAUACUCACUUUUCUGUCAAGGAUCUCCUGAGUGCCUGCACUCCACACUAAGGGCUCAGCAAGGUCCUGUACUUCACAAGCACUUGAGUAGCUUUCGCUCUUCAUUGCAGUCAAAGAACAACUUGCACUGUCAACUCAUUGCUUCUGCCACCCUAAGAUGAAGAUCACACUGCCUUGUAUGUCAACAGGAGUAUCAAGCAGGUCACAUGUUUAUGCAUCUCCAUGGUGUUGCAGUGGUCAUGGCCAGUGAUUCAGACCAUAUAAUGUAAAGAUGAAAAAUGUUUAAUCUGUGUUUGCAGCUGUGAAAGGGGAGGGCUGGAAAUGUCAUCUCACUCUGGGGUAAUCAAGGCACGUUACCUCCCUCCACCUGCACUGCAGGCCCUCUUGGGUUUAUUGUAUGCUAAUUUCUAGGUAUAAUACAAAAUAUCACAAUAAACUAUUGCUGUUGUAUGGAAAGACUGUAUUUUAAUCACCUUGGACGUAAUCUUUCUCUCAGUAUCUAAAGGCAUCCCCAUCUUCUAGAUCUGCUGUCCUGUGGUUGAUUUCUCAGCUCAGGCCUAAACAUCAAGCUACUGUAAUCAGUAUGAUCUGGCAGAUUUUAAUUAAAAUAUUUAACAUUACUCCAAAUUCACAUACAUCCCAUCAGAGUUGCACCAAUAUGUUGCUGAUUGUAUUAUUUCUUUUGUGUAUGCUAUAUCUGAGAAUAUAAAUUAUUAUCUUAGACGUCCUUAUAAAUAAUAAAGUAUUGUACAAAAUCAGCCAAGCACAAACAAAAUGAGACAAAAUUGAUGAUGAUUUGA